GACGAACGCUGGCGGCGUGCUUAAUACAUGCAAGUCAACGACUUUUAGAGUAGCAAUAUUCUAAAGGAAGUGGCGCACGGGUGAGUAACACGUAGGUAAUCUGCCUUCAGGACUGACACAACUCGUCGAAAGACGGGCUAAUAUCAGAUAAUGCAGCGGCUCGCAUGGAGACAGUUGUUAAAGUACAAGCGCCUGAAGAUGAGCCUGCGGUCCAUUAGCUAGUUGGUAGAGUAAAGCCUACCAAGGCAACGAUGGAUAGCUGGUCUGAGAGGAUGAUCAGCCACACUGGAACUGAGACACGGUCCAGACUCCUACGGGAGGCAGCAGUAAGGAAUAUUGCUCAAUGGCCGAAAGGCUGAAGCAGCAACGCCGCGUGAAGGAUGAAUGGCCUUUGGGCCUGUAAAACUUCUGUUAAAAAGGGAAAACAGUCAGGUAUAUCCUGAUUU
rnacentral:rRNA from 1 species